AUUGAACGCUGGCGGCAGGCCUAACACAUGCAAGUCGAGCGGACGAAGGGAGCUCGCUCCUGGAUUCAGCGGCGGACGGGUGAGUAAUGCCUAGGAAUCUGCCUGGUAGUGGGGGAUAACGUCCGGAAACGGGCGCUAAUACCGUACCCGUCCUGAGGGAGAAAGUGAGGGAUCUUCGGACCUCACGCUAUCAGAUGAGCCUAGGUCGGAUUAGCUAGUUGGUGGGGUAAAGGCCUACCAAGGCGACGUUCCGUAACUGGUCUGAGAGGAUGAUCAGUCACACUGGAACUGAGACACGGUCCAGACUCCUACGGGAGGCAGCAGUAGGGAAUAUUGGGCAAUGGGCGAAAGCCUGAUCCAGCCAUGCCGCGUGUGUGAAGAAGGUCUUCGGAUUGUAAAGCUCUUUUAGUUGGGAGGAACGGCAGUAAGUGAAUACCUUGCUGUUUUGACGGUACCAACAGAAUAAGCACCGGCUAACUUCGUG
rnacentral:rRNA from 1 species